rnacentral:sRNA from 1 species
UUCAUGGGGACUUUUGGGAGCGGGGAACACUGUACCAGGCAUGACUUACGGGUAUACAAUGUGGCCUGUGACUUUCCUCCCCAUACCUGUUAC